CUACCACAUAUCUUGGGAAACUAUUCUGCAGGCUAAUAAGGUAUUGCUGCCUGGAACAUUCAACCUAAACUUUCCCACUGAAUUUCAUCCCUUUUCUCUUGUUUCUUAACUGUCACUUUGGAAAAACUGGGUACUUGAGAUCUUCUAUAAAAUUCAAAAUGUGCAGUCCGCACAGGGCAGAAAGUGAGACUCCUUCUCCUGUAUUUUAUGAGAAUAUGAUGCAAACAUAUAUUACAAGCACUAGAACUAUUUCCUCUAUUUUAACACUUUCUGUUCUUAAAACCAAUCCAACAGAAACUGCAGCAGCUUGAAAACAAGUAUAUGUUUUUGGCCACUGUGUGGACAGGACAUUAUAUUUAAAAAAAGUAGCUGUUUUACUGUCUGUUAAAACUGUGUCCAGUCUGUGCAAAUUGGCACUAGCUAUUACAACAUAACUAGAAAAAUUUCAACUUCCUAUGGGAUGGAAUAAGAAUAUUUCCCUCCCUCUGUAUCCUGCUGUGAGACCACCUCCCCAAUGGCAACUCCUUGGCAUCUUUAUUCCCUCGAUAAAUCUUGAUGCUGACGUAGAAAAUUAACCCAUUUUGGACGGAAACACUGCAGGACCUGAGAAAUUACGUCGCACAGAUUAGGUCCUUAUAGUUAGCGGAUGUUUUCCUCUCAAUGGGACAGCGCUUCCCACGAUGCAGCUUCAUAAGACACAAGUGGACUGUGUGGAAUGGGAAGAAGCCCAGGGCGGUAUCGGACCUGUUACCAGAUGAUCUACAUGGAUCCUAUCUGUGAUAGAAAAGUUACAAGAGGAACCUUGUGUAGGUGCAGAGAACUCACAGCUCCCCAUGGCUUCCACUGCAGUUGUUGGUGCUCAGCAGUUCUGGGAAUCCAGCCCAAGAUAUCUCAAGAUGGAGAUCCAAAAAUCCAAACACCCCCAAUUUCUGUCCACUUUUGAAAACUUCAGCCUCAGUGACUUGCCAGGCACUUUAUUUAUCUGCUACAUUCACCUUCUAUCUAUAAUAAUUCUUGUUUGCCUAGACUGAAUGUAGCCAUUGUGGUUUCUAAACUGUAGUUGCUGUUGUUUUAGGGUUACUACACUUUGCCCUUGGGUAAUUUUAAUCUUUGAGCAGCCAGACAGCUGCUAUCAUUUUAUGUCAUGACACUAU